UUGGGGUUGUUUUUUUAAAUUUUUUAUCUGCUCAGAUUGAACGCUGGCGGCAGGCCUAACACAUGCAAGUCGAACGGUAACAGGAAGCAGCUUGCUGCUUCGCUGACGAGUGGCGGACGGGUGAGUAAUGUCUGGGAAACUGCCUGAUGGAGGGGGAUAACUACUGGAAACGGUGGCUAAUACCGCAUAACGUCGCAAGACCAAAGAGGGGGACCUUCGGGCCUCUUGCCAUCAGAUGUGCCCAGAUGGGAUUAGCUUGUUGGUGAGGUAACGGCUCACCAAGGCGACGAUCCCUAGCUGGUCUGAGAGGAUGACCAGCCACACUGGAACUGAGACACGGUCCAGACUCCUACGGGAGGCAGCAGUGGGGAAUAUUGCACAAUGGGCGCAAGCCUGAUGCAGCCAUGCCGCGUGUAUGAAGAAGGCCUUCGGGUUGUAAAGUACUUUCAGCGGGGAGGAAGGUGUUGUGGUUAAUAACCGCAGCAAUUGACGUUACCCGCAGAAGAAGCACCGGCUAACUCCGUGCCAGCAGCCGCGGUAAUACGGAGGGUGCAAGCGUUAAUCGGAAUUACUGGGCGUAAAGCGCACGCAGGCGGUCUGUCAAGUCGGAUGUGAAAUCCCCGGGCUCAACCUGGGAACUGCAUUCGAAACUGGCAGGCUUGAGUCUUGUAGAGGGGGGUAGAAUUCCAGGUGUAGCGGUGAAAUGCGUAGAGAUCUGGAGGAAUACCGGUGGCGAAGGCGGCCCCCUGGACAAAGACUGACGCUCAGUGCGAAAGACGCC
rnacentral:rRNA from 1 species